ACCACGCUGGAACAUGGUAUUUGGGGGUAACCUGAAUCUGUAUUCCAGGGCCACGGUCCAGAAUAAACAUCUCUGGUUCUCUCGUCCCUUCUGAAGCGAGAGCUGUUUUAGCUGUGGGAAACCGAAGUGCACCUGCGCGUGCCCUGGGAGGCGAGCGAGCAGGGCCGCUGUCAUCCGCCCGUCAUUUCCCAAACCAGCUGCCUCAGUUGCUCUAUAGAAAACGCUGCCCUCUUGACACCCGAGACGCCGCCUCCGCGCGCCCGGCUCGCGGCGCGCUGGCGCCACCGUGCGGCCUCUUCCUGCCAUUGCCCUGAGGCCGCUGUGGCGCCUGGGUGAACCUGUUCAAACCCUAAGGUCACAGACAGAGGUGCUGGAGCCCCGACAAAGAGCUUCCUCUCUGGUCCAACAUACCGUCCAAAUACCUGCUUUCCCGACGGACGGGAAAGCAGCUCGUGUCAGCUUUCCAGCGCUUCAUUCUGCUCCCUAGCACUUAUGGCUGACGCUUCCUGUCGCCUGCUUCCACUAGCAAGAUCAAGGGCUCUCUCCACGGUUAAUGAUAGCGUUUCCAAAGGCACCAGCUCAUGAUCACAUAUUCUCGGGGCAGUCUCUGCAAGAGCACACAAAGACAUCUUCCACAACAAGUCUACUUCUGUGUUUAGGACUGAUAACCAGCAAGCUGGAACACCCUGUUUCACAAAGAUAUGUUGUCGGAAAUGGAAGAAGGGUAACAGUCUCAAACAGAAAGGCUAUGAACCAACACUUGAUCCAGAAUUGUGUAACUGACAUUGUAGAGAAGUCAGUUCCUGCUGCACAGAUGUUAACAAGUUCAGUGAACUCUGAAGCCACCUCGGGAACAUCUUCAACGUCAACUGUGAAUGGGCUUCUGGCACGUGCAAAUGGGUGUCAGGGAGAUUUGGAAAAUACAAUGAAUUGUCAUCCGCAAGUAGGUGCAAGUGUGUUUUGUUGUUGUUGGUUUUGGUUUUUUUGUUUGUUUGUUUUUCUGUGUAGCUUUGGAACCUGUCCUAAAACUUGCUCUGUAGACCAGGCUGGCCUUGAACUCACAGAGAUUCUCCUGCCUCUGCCUCCCGAGUGCUGGGAUUAAAGGCAUGCGCCAUCAAUGCCCUGUGCAAGUGUUCUUUCACAGAAAUUAUCACCUGGUUCAAUGUCACGUUCCUCAAAGAAAGCCCCAAUAAGGUAGGCAACAUAUGAAUUCUAUUAUCAUCUAGUUCGUUUCUGUUUUUGCCAAAGCUAAAGUUUCAUUUGGAAUGAUCUGAUGUUUUCAGACAAAUCGAGGCAUGUUGCAUUUGGUCCUUGCAGUACAACUUUAACUCAUUCAAGAUGGCAAAGAUGUCAACCAAAUAAGUUAUUUUCUGCAAUUUGUUUUCAUCGCUGGAAAGUGCUUUGAACUGCAGUCUUGCUUUCUGAUUAAAAACAUUUUGAGUUCAUCAUGAAGCUCAAAAGCGCAUUUUAAAAACAUUUCCUCUUGCCCACCAUCUCUCUUCAGCGUGAAAGAGCAGAGCUUUGUUCACGGAUCCACCUUGUAGCACAGCUGAGCAAACAGUCAAUCGUUUAAAGUGCUCACCUUUACAAACCGACGAAUUCAUGCCUUUCAGACUUCCUGUAACUCCUGCGGCACUGUCUUCACUGCUGAUAUUUGCCGAUGAAUCAUACAGUGAGUUCGGAUGACUCUGGUGUUCAGAUGGCUUUUUCGAUGUUCAGUACCAAACGCUGAAUCCAGAUGACACCCCAGCACAGCUGGAGCACCAUCUGUGCCAACACCACAACCUUUCCCAAGAGAGCUUCCGCUCUUUCAGGAAAUACAUCACGUGCAGUGUUGUGGAUUCAAGAGGUUUGCAUAAAAAGCAGCUCACCUUUAAGGCCGCCACCACCAUCACUACACCUCAUGUACACAGUACCUGUUACCUGAUCAAGACCGUCAGCACUGCCAUCCAUUCUCCUGCAGUGUCCUUAGAGAGGGAAACUGCACUCAACUGUGUAACAAGUUCGUCUCAACUUCAACAAUGUCUUCGGCCACUGGCAACAGUAACUCCUCAGCAACAGUGUCAGGUUUCAUUUCAUGGUCCUGGCAAUUCCGGGUGCCUCCAAACGUGAGGCUUCAGCGGCUGCUAUGUUCUGUUUGUGGUACUUGCCACCAGUAUCAAGUCCAUCAGCUUUGCUCCUAAAACAGUUUGUAUAUCUUUGCAGCAAAGCUCGAAUGCUGUUAUCAAAAUGGCAUUUUAGUUUGCUCGGCUCCGGCUGACAGAAGUUCACAACAAAUAACACAGUGCAAUUUCUCAAUUCCUGCUGUAAUUACUAAAGUAAAACCAUACUGUAAAAAAUCCUCAUUAUACUUUCUUUUCUUAACGUUCCUUUCUACACAACCAUUGUCAUGGGAUGGUUUUCUAAUGAAAACAAUAUAUAACAACAGCUUUACUAAUCCAAAAGAUGAUGCAUGGCAUAGUUCAGUCAAUGCAGUACACUGGAGUUUCCUAUGAUUUACCAUUGUGUGUUUUUACAUACCAGUUACUAUCACAAGGGGGCAGUAUUCACGUCAACCACAUCUGAUCAGCAUCCACAGGAAGUUCCCAUGGUACAGAUUUUUUUUUCUGUAGUUGAUGAUUUACAGUACAUGAUUUUACUCUUACCCAGUAAUUAUAAUUCAUAAAGCAUUGGUUUAUCUCCAAUACUGAUGUUGUCAACACAGUUGCUACUCUCUACAUAUAUGUGACUGG